UGGGGAAUUUUGGACAAUGGGCGAAAGCCUGAUCCAGCAAUGCCGCGUGUGUGAAGAAGGCCUUCGGGUUGUAAAGCACUUUUUGUCCGGAAAGAAAUCCUUGGCUCUAAUACAGUCGGGGGAUACGGUACCGGAAGAAUAAGCACCGGCUAACUACGUGCCAGCAGCCGCGGUAAUACGUAGGGUGCAAGCGUUAAUCGGAAUUACUGGGCGUAAAGCGUGCGCAGGCGGUUUUGCUAAGACCGAUGUGAAAUCCCCGGGCUCAACCUGGGAACUGCAUUGGUGACUGGCAGGCUAGAAGUAUGGCAGUAGGGGGGUUAGAAUUCCACGUGUAGCAGUGAAAAUGCCGUAGAGAUGUGGAGGAAUACCGAUGGCGAAGGCAGCCCCC
rnacentral:rRNA from 1 species